rnacentral:rRNA from 1 species
AGUGGAUGGGGAGCAACCUAGUUGUGCGUGUGUAAAGGUAGUGCCAAGAAAAGCGAUGAUCAUGUUGAAAAUCAAUUCCCGGUACCCGAGACCGACACAGGUGGGCAAGUAGAGAAUACUAAGGGGCGCGAGGUAACUCUCUCCAAGGAACUCGGCAAAAUGACCCCGUAACUUAGGGAGAAGGGGUGCCACCGAGAGGUGGUCGCAGUGAAGAGGCCCAGGCGACUGUUUAGCAAAAACAUAGGUCUCUGCAAACUCGAAAGAGGAGGUAUAGGGGCUGACGCCUGCCCAGUGCCGGAAGGUUAAAGAAGUUGGUCAGUUUUAGGAUGAAGCUAGCGACUGAAGCCCCGGUGAACGGCGGCCGUAACUAUAACGGUCCUAAGGUAGCGAAAUUCCUUGUCGGGUAAGUUCCGACCCGCACGAAAGGCGUAACGAUCUGGGCGCUGUCUCGGAGAGAGGCUCGGCGAAAUAGGAUUGUCUGUGAAGAUACGGACUACCUGCACCUGGACAGAAAGACCCUAUGAAGCUUUACUAUAGCUUGGAAUUGUGUUCGGGCUUCCUGUGCGCAGGAUAGGUGGGAGGCGUAGAAGGUAUUCUUGUGGGGAUACUGGAGCCAACGGUGAGAUACCACUCUCAGGAGGCUAGAAUUCUAACUUAAUUAAGGACAGUUUCAGGUGGGUAGUUUGACUGGGGCGGUCGCCUCCAAAAAGGUAACGGAGGCGUACAAAGGUUCCCUCAGACUGGUUGGAAAUCAGUCGAAGAGUGCAAGGCAGAAGGGAGCUUGACUGCGAGAAGUACAGUUCGAGCAGGGUGGAAACACGGUCUUAGUGAUCCGACGGUGCUGUGUGGAAGGGCCGUCGCUCAACGGAUAAAAGUUACUCUAGGAUAACAGGCUGAUCUCCCCCAAGAGUUCACAUCGACGGGGAGGUUUGGCACCUCGAUGUCGGCUCAUCGCAACCUGGGGCGGAAGUACGUCCCAAGGGUUGGGCUGUUCGCCCAUUAAAGCGGUACGUGAGCUGGGUUCAGAACGUCGUGAGACAGUUCGGUCCAUAUCCGAUGUAGGCGUGAGAAUAUUGAGAGGAGCCUUCCUUAGUACGAGAGGACCGGGAAGGACGCACCGCUGGUGUACCUGUUAUGAUGCCAAUUGUAAACGCAGGGUAGCCAAGUGCGGAGAGGAUAACCGCUGAAAGCAUCUAAGUGGGAAGCCCACCUCAAGAUGAGUAUUCUGGUGUAAGGUCACGGGAAGACGACCCGUAAAUAGGCACGAGGUGGAAGUGCAGAGAUGUAUGAAGCUGAAGUGUACUAAUAGACCGUCGGCUUGAC